UACGUAGGGUGCGAGCGUUAAUCGGAAUUACUGGGCGUAAAGGGUGCGCAGGCGGUUUUGCAAGCUGGAUGUGAAAGCCCCGGGCUCAACCUGGGAGGUGCAUUCAGGACUGUGAAGCUAGAGUGUGGCAGAGGGAGGUGGAAUUCCACGUGUAGCAGUGAAAUGCGUAGAGAUGUGGAGGAACACCGAUGGCGAAGGCAGCCUCCUGGGCCAACACUGACGCUCAUGCACGAAAGCGUGGGGAGCAAACAGG
rnacentral:rRNA from 1 species